UACAGAGGCCUCGAGCGUUAGGCGGAAUCACUGGGCUUAAAGCGUGUGUAGGUGGAUGCCUAAGUACCUUGUGAAAUCCCACGGCUUAACCGUGGAAUUGCUUGGUAUACUGGGCGUCUUGAGCCACUCAGGGGCGAGCGGAACAAACGGUGGAGCGGUGAAAUGCGUAGAUAUCGUUUGGGACGCCAAUGGUGAAAACAGCUCGCUGGGGGUGUGCUGACACUGAGACACGAAAGCCAGGGGAGCGAACGGG
rnacentral:rRNA from 1 species